AGCUUACAGUCUAUAGGAGGUGGGGUAUAAAACACAUUAGGACAGGGAAAAGAAGUCAAAUUAGGUGGGAGUGGAGCAGAGCUGGAGGAGAGAGUAGAGUGCUGCCCUUUAGGAGAGAGACCUCUCUGCUGCCUUUGACACUGUUGAACAUGUUCUCCUUCUCCAAACUCUUCAAUCACUCGGUCUCUGUGACACUGUCAUCUCGUGGUUUUCCUCUUAUGUCACCCAAUGUUCAUUGAGUGUUUCCUUUUCCUAUGACAACUCCUCCCCUCG